rnacentral:tRNA from 1 species
GGUAAAAUGGCUGAAAAUAGGCAAUAAACUGUAAAUUUAUUUAUGAAUGAAAUUUCUUUUACCA